UUAUGAGUUUCAAGUUACAUUACAUGUGCCAUAUGGCUUAUACUAAAGUUUAUUUGUCAUAUAUUUUGAAUAAAAUAGAAGAAAGAUGUUUUCAAUUUUUAAUAAAUUAAAAUUUAAUAACUGUAAUUUCAGUACAACUUCUAUUAAGUAUACAACAGCAAAGUGAGUAAGAUGUGAAUGACAGCAGUUUCAUUUCCAGUCGAUUUAGGAGAUUUGAAUACCGGACAUAAGCAGCCUGUGCAACAAGUUAGUGAAGACAGUAGACACUUUCAAAGAGAAAGGCUUUCAAAAAUCGAAAAAAGUGGCACUCACACUGCCAAUUAGUUCUGCCACAUAUUGUGAACUAUCGUUGUCGGUGGGUCGUCAGUCGAUUUUUGGGAUAGUGAAUAUUUUUUUGAAUUAUAUAGAGUCCAAGAAAUUUAUGUUAGGUACCUUUUUAUUAAAAGUACAUUUUAAUUACAUUAAUUAUAUUUUUGUUCAUAUUAAUUAUAAACCUGUUAAAUACAA